CGCAUCUGUGCAUGCAGCAUAUCAAUAAGCGGAGGAAAAGAAACUAACAAGGAUUCCCCUAGUAACGGCGAGUGAAGCGGGUAGAGCUCAAAUUUGAAAUCUUAGAGGGUUUCCCUUUACGAAUUGUAGUUUAAAGAAGUGUUUUCUGUUGAGGUUUUGGUAAAAGUUCUUUGGAAUAGGACAUCAUAGAGGGUGAGAAUCCCGUAUUUGACCUUUACUUUCAACUUUGUGAUACACUUUCAAAGAGUCGGAUUGUUUGGGAAUGCAGUCCAAAAUGGGUGGUAAAUUUCAUCUAAAGCUAAAUAUUGGCGAGAGACCGAUAGCGAACAAGUACCGUGAGGGAAAGAUGAAAAGAACUUUGAAAAGAGAGUUAAACAGUACGUGAAAUUGUCAAAAGGGAAGCGUUUGACACCAGUGUUGUUUUUCUGAAAAUCAAUUAAAGAACUGUUUAUGCUAAGCUUGUUUAGACUUUAUCAGCUAACUGUUUAGUUUUGAGCUUUUCUUUAAUGCACUUUUCAGUUAACAAGUCAACAUCAAUUUCUUUUGCUGUAAAAAAGCUUGAGGAAGGUGGCUUGAGAUUCGUCUUAAGUGUUUAUAGCCUCUUGCCUAUGCAGUCGGAGAGAUUGAGGUCUGCAGCGUAGGAUCCUUCGGGGCUAAAUGCAUUUGUGCUAAGUUAUAGCAUUUUAUAGACAACUUGUUGACUAUGAUUUGUCUUGUAGCUUACUCGCUUAUGUUAUUUUACCUACGCUUAGGAUGUUGAGCGCAUGUCUCUCUCU
rnacentral:rRNA from 1 species